GAUUAAAGUUUUUUUUUUUUUUUUUUGUAAUUACUAUUUGUACCAGUUUGUCAGAUUCAGGCCAAUUUGUCUCAUCCAACAUUAUUUACUUACUUAUUUAUUGACUUUAUUAUUAUUAGAUGUUUUUUUUGAGAAGCCACUGCCUGUCUUUUCUCUUCAGGCCAGUGCCUUCUGUUUACAAUUCAAAAGCUUGCGGUCAGUUUUAUUUAU